AAGCAAAUAUAAAAGAGAAUUAUUUACAACCACAAAGUACUUAUAUAUAAUUAGGAAAUUUACAACACAUAACCGUUACAGAGAACUAUCUCUGUGUUACUAUAUACAAUCUCAAGGUAUAUAGGUAAUGACUGAAGCUGCUGAAGGGAGUGCGGGAUGGCUUCAGCAGUUUUAAAGAUAUCCAUCAAGUGAUUAAUAAAAAUAAAUCUUUGAAGAGUAAAACUGUUACAAGUAAAGAAAAUGUGAUCCAAGGUAGGUAAUGUAAUAAAAUAGAAGAAGAAGAACCACUCUGCAAUUUUACAAGAAGAGGAUGAUUUUUAAUGG